AGUUUUGUUUGUUGACGAUUCCUGUGGCAUAUAUACCACUGUGCUGCCAACUAGGGCCCCAUGCAUGCACUACAACGCUCCACCACUGUGCUGCCAAUUAGUUGUCGUUUUGGGCUCUUAGCCCGUUUUCCUGCAGGGAUUUGAACCGUCGACCUUCAGCCUUGGAUCACAGAGAACUACCCACUUGAGCUACCUAAGAUUGUUGUAAAGAAGACACUACGUAAAAAAAGGAAAAAAAUACUCUCUCAUUACUCACUUCUUGGUAAGCACAAUUAUAUCCUAAACGACAACUAAUUUAGAUAUAGAGGGAGUACACAGCCCGCCCU
rnacentral:lncRNA from 1 species